AACGAACGCUGGCGGCAUGCCUAACACAUGCAAGUCGAACGAACCCUUCGGGGUUAGUGGCGCACGGGUGCGUAACGCGUGGGGAUCUGCCCAAAGGUUCGGAAUAACUCAGAGAAAUUUGAGCUAAUACCGGAUAAUGUCUUCGGACCAAAGAUUUAUUGCCUUUGGAUGAACCCGCGUAGGAUUAGCUUGUUGGUGGGGUAAAGGCCUACCAAGGCGACGAUCCUUAGCUGGUCUGAGAGGAUGAUCAGCCACACUGGGACUGAGACACGGCCCAGACUCCUACGGGAGGCAGCAGUGGGGAAUAUUGGACAAUGGGCGAAAGCCUGAUCCAGCAAUGCCGCGUGAGUGAUGAAGGCCUUAGGGUUGUAAAGCUCUUUUACCAGGGAUGAUAAUG
rnacentral:rRNA from 1 species